GUGGGGAAUCUUGCGCAAUGGGCGAAAGCCUGACGCAGCCAUGCCGCGUGGAUGAUGAAGGUCUUAGGAUUGUAAAAUCCUUUCACCGGUGAAGAUAAUGACUGUAGCCGGAGAAGAAGCCCCGGCUAACUUCGUGCCAGCAGCCGCGGUAAUACGAAGGGGGCUAGCGUUGCUCGGAUUUACUGGGCGUAAAGGGCGCGUAGGCGGACAUUUAAGUCAGGGGUGAAAUCCCGGGGCUCAACCUCGGAACUGCCUUUGAUACUGGGUGUCUUGAGUAUGAGAGAGGUGUGUGGAACUCCGAGUGUAGAGGUGAAAUUCGUAGAUAUUCGGAGGAACACCGGUGGCGAAGGCGGCUCACUGGCUCGAUACUGACGCUGAGGUGCGAAAGCGUGGGGAGCAAACAGGAUUAGAUACCCUUGUAGUCC
rnacentral:rRNA from 1 species